UGUUUCCUUUUCUUGUCUGAUUGCUUUGGACAGACCCUCUAGCACCAUGUCAAAAAGAAGUGUUAGGAGCAGACACCCUUGUCUUGUUCUGAGGGGAACUUUUCCUCUUUCAACAUUUAGUGUGAUGUUUAGCAGUGUGUUUUGAAAGAUGCUUUGGUAUUGUUACCUUUAGGAGAACUUAUCUUGGAGAUAAAAUUUACUUUUGAUGAUUUUACUUUCAUCAAAAAGAAAGCAGGGGAAAUAGAGGUAAAAGGGUUAUCUCUAUGCUGAUAACUCUUCCAGGUGGGUGAAGACAACCGAAGGGUUCUUGGUAGUUUUCACUCUAAUUUUGUACAUACGUGGAAAUUCCCAUAAAACUUUUUACAAAUUCCAUCAGACACACAUUCUCUAUUUAGUUCUCAGGCUUAGAAAUGAAUGUGAUUACAUGUUAUAUGGAACCAACAUUCAUCUCUAGGUUCCCAGACAAGAAAAGCAUCUCUGGUUUGCAUAUGCAGUGGCCAGGUCUCAGUGCAGGCCGGGUUCCUUUAUAAGACAGGUGCACACGAUCAGGUGCGGGGUGGGCAGAUUUCUCUACAAUAGAGGACAGCCUUACUGCACUGCCUCUGGAUUCAGGCUCAGUGGGGUAAGGUUCCAGCACAGGAGUUUACUGGGGGUAACCCUAGGAAACACUAGAGAAUGGAGAAGGGAGGAAAUCUAAUGAGGAGUCCACAGUCCAGCCACUGACCACAUGGGUCACUGGACCUUCAGCUGCUGAGGGACAUCGGAAUGGAGUAUGUCUCAGGAUACCCUGACCACACACCAACUCCUGUCAGUCUCUGGUUGAGGGUUGCUCCCUGAGGGCUCCGAUUUUCUACUGGAAAACCCACAGGCAACGAGGAGCAGCUGCUGGGCUGGGAGGUAGGAUGGGCCCUCAUUGCAAAGGGCAGGCCAGAGUUGUGGGGGGCACCCACCUUUAACAUGUUUCCACCAUCCUCUUGUUCUGUAGCGGACCUCAGGUGUCACUGAAGCCCUCACCUAGAACGUCUCUUUCCCAGGAAAUGGAAUGCAGAGGGCCUUGCUAGACACUGACUGCCACGUCACCUUUCCUCCAAGGCCAUCCCACAGAGUGUCAGAGAAGCAGUGUUGGAAAUAAAAGAAAACUAAGGCACAGGCUUUCAAGUGGUCCCAGACAGCUAGUGUGCAACGUGACUCCAUGAAAGGCAGCAGAAGUGACGUGUGUCCCCAAGUGCCACCUGGAGGAACUACCUCUGAGGCCCCUGCCGUCAGUCAC
rnacentral:lncRNA from 1 species